rnacentral:rRNA from 1 species
UGGCGAAUAUUGCACAAUGGGCGCAAGCCUGAUGCAGCCAUGCCGCGUGUGUGAAGAAGGUCUUCGUGUUGUAAAGCACUUUCAGCGGGGAGGAAGGCGUUAAGGUUAAUAACCUUGGCGAUUGACGUUACCCGCAGAAGAAGCACCGGCUAACUCCGUGCCAGCAGCCGCGGUAAUACGGAGGGUGCAAGCGUUAAUCGGAAUUACUGGGCGUAAAGCGCCCGCAGGCGGUCUGUCAAGUCGGAUGUGUAAUCCCCGGGAUCAACCUGGGAACUGUAUUCGAAAGUGGGAGGCUGGAGUCUUGUAGAGGGGGGUAGAAUUCCAGGUGUAGCGGUGAAAUGCGUAGAGGUCUGGAGGAAUACCAGUGGCGAAGGCGGCCCCCUGGACAAAGACUGACGCUCAGGUGCGAAAGCGUGGGGAGCAAAGAGG